UGUGGGAGCUGGCUUGCCUGCGAUAGCGGUGUAUCAGUCGCUGAUUGGUUGCCUGACCGCUAGCUAUCGCAGGCAAGCCAGCUCCCACA
rnacentral:misc_RNA from 1 species